GCGGGCGUAGCUCAGCUGGUUAGAGCACCUGAUUGUGGUUCAGGGGGCCGUGGGUUCAAAUCCCAUCGCUCGCCCCA
rnacentral:tRNA from 1 species